UACGUAGGGGGCAAGCGUUGUCCGGAAUCAUUGGGCGUAAAGAGCGCGUAGGCGGCCCUGUAAGUCCGCUGUGAAAACUGGAGGCUCAACCUCCAGCCUGCGUGAGUGGUGACGGGCAGACUAGAGUGGCGGGUAGGGGAGAAUUCGGAAUUCCGUGGUGUGGCGGUGGAAUGCGCAGAUAUCAGGAAGAACACCAAUGGCGAAAGCAGCUCUCUGGGACGGUACUGACGCUGAGACGCGAAAGCGUGGGGAGCGAACAGG
rnacentral:rRNA from 1 species